UACGUAGGGUGCGAGCGUUAAUCGGAAUUACUGGGCGUAAAGUGUGCGCAGGCGGCCGCGCAAGUCGAGUGUGAAAGCCCCGGGCUUAACUUGGGAAUUGCGCUCGAAACUACGUGGCUAGAGUGUGGCAGAGGGAGGUGGAAUUCCACGUGUAGCGGUGAAAUGCGUAGAGAUGUGGAGGAACACCGAUGGCGAAGGCGCCUAUCUGGCCCGAUACUGACGCUGAGGCGCGAAAGCUAGGGGAGCAAACGGG
rnacentral:rRNA from 1 species